rnacentral:tRNA from 1 species
GUCCCUGUCGCGUAAUGGAUAACGCGUUGGACUUCUAAUCCAAAAAGUCGUAGGUUCGAAUCCCACUUGGGAUG